ACUUCCGGAUAAAUAAAAUUGAAUUUACUAAUACAUUUAUCAUAUAUUUAUCUUCUUUUUUCAGAAGUCCUCAGAAAAUGUAGAUGAGAGCGGAAAUGUAAGACAAUCGAAGAGCAGGAAAAAAGAACAAGAACAGGUGAAGUUGACUAUCAAGUUAAACAUGUUAAAUACUUUAACCGAGACUCUUGUCGAUAAAGAAUCAACGAAAAAGGCUGUAUGCCGAAAAAUGAAAGUGAUAUCUGCCCCAAAAAAGGGUGACAUUGAAAAAACUAAGGUGAACAAAAGUAACCAUUUUCAAUAUAUGUGUAGGAUGACCAGAG